GAGAAGAAAGGAUGCCGCUCAAUUACCCCGACAUAGUCAUACGGUGAAUGUUGUGUAUUGGAGACCAAUGUUAACUGUAAGACUGUGUCUCGGUGGUUGCCAGCCCAGCCACACAGCCCA
rnacentral:pre_miRNA from 15 species